rnacentral:tRNA from 1 species
ACCUGGGUAUCGGAAGGGCCUACGACCAGGACGUUGCAGCCGGCCUCGCGCAACCGCAUGAGCGGGUACCAGAGUUCGAGUUCCUGGUACUGGUG